UUUCUAUAAUAUCAACAAACAAAAAAAAGUUACAUUAUAUCAUCUUAGUUCAUGCCAACUUCCAAUCAUGUAUGUUUAACAUUUUCUUACAAAAAAUGAACACAGAGGUAUCCAUAUAUAUUUAACUCAACUAAUUAUAGGCAUAGUAAUGAGGUAUCCAUUGACAUAGUGGUACCAAUUCUGUGUGUUUCUCCUAGUGCUACCUCAUUUUUCAUCAAUAAAUAUAUACCAUUAGAUUACAAAACUAUGAGCAUUGUAUUCACCAUUCUCCAUUGUCACAACAAUUACAAAAUGCUACAAAGAAAACAAGAAAAUCAAGAAAAUAUUGAUUUUAGAGUACUUAUCUGGUAUUCAAGAACAAUUUCAAGUAAAGACUAAAAAAGAGUGAACCAACCUUCACUUAAUCAAGAAGAGUUACCACAUAAAUCUUCUAAAAUCCAAACAUUUGACAACUUUGCAAAAUAGGUAGUUGCCUUGGCCUUUGAGAACCUAUAAAACCA
rnacentral:lncRNA from 1 species